UUAACUCAUAUUUGUGUGGAGUGAAAUCGUUUGCCUACGUUAGCCGCUAGGGGCGCUGUUCCAACUGCACACAAAAUUGGCUUA
rnacentral:pre_miRNA from 1 species